rnacentral:rRNA from 1 species
CAUGAAUGGAUAAACUUUAUUCAACUGUCCCAACUAUAUAACCGAAAAUUUAUAUUUAAGUGAAGAAGCUUAAAUUCAAAAGAAGGACCAAAAGACCCUAUAGAGCUUCAUACAAUACUAGAAAACCCAUACUAUAACCGUAUUUCAUUGGGGCGAUGCCAGAUUUUUCAUCUUCCUUCAAUUUUACAAACAAGUUAACUAAAAACCCUUGUAUAAGAAUUAGAAAAAGCUACCUUAGGGAUAACAGUCUAAUUUUUCUUAAUAGCCCACAUUAACAGGAAAAACCUUGGC